UUGGGCAGUUAAGAAGAGUCAUAUAGAUAAGAUGACAACAAAAAACAAAAGCUAGAUUCUGAUGACAAGUUCAAAAACCACAACCAAAAUUGAUUUCGCCAAAUCAAAUCUUCUACUCAUGCGCUCUCUUUUUUCAGCUUUGCAAGCUCUUGCCUGAUAGCUCCACCCCUCUGCACAAACAAUUAUAGAAUCAAUUAACCUCACAGAAGACUUAGCAGAUCACAGCCCAUGCUGCAAUGAUUUAGGAAACCCAAAAUAGACAACUCCGAAAGGAAAA